UACAGAGGUCUCAAGCGUUGUUCGGAUUCAUUGGGCGUAAAGGGCGCGUAGGCGGUUUGGACAGUCAGGCGUGAAAUUCCUGGGCUUAACCUGGGGGCUGCGCUUGAUACAUCCAGACUUGAGUGGGGAAGAGGGUCGUGGAAUUCCCAGUGUAGAGGUGAAAUUCGUAGAUAUUGGGAAGAACACCGGUGGCGAAGGCGGCGACCUGGUCCUUUACUGACGCUGAGGCGCGAAAGCGUGGGGAGCAAACAGG
rnacentral:rRNA from 1 species